rnacentral:rRNA from 1 species
CGCCUGUUUUAUCAAAAACAUGUCUGUAUGAAGAAGUAAUAUAAAGUCUGGCCUGCCCACUGAAAUUGAUUAAAGGGCCGCGGUAAUUUGACCGUGCGAAGGUAGCAUAAUCAGUAGUCUCUUAAUUGGAGGCUGGAAUGAAUGGUCGGACAAAGAGUUGGCUGUCUCCUUUGCAUUUCUUGAAGUUUACUUUUAAGUGAAAAGGCUUAAAUAUUAUUGGGGGACGAUAAGACCCUAUAAAACUUUACAGUAUAAUCAAUACUUUCCAAAUUAAAGUUUAAUGUUGGUUAUUGGUUAUCUGUUAUGUUGGGGCGACAAAGAUAAAAUAAGUAACUGUCUUACAUAAAAAAUAAUAAUAAUUAGUUUAGUUGAUCCUUUAUUAAAGAUUAUAAGAUUAAGUUACUUUAGGGAUAACAGCGUAAUUCUCUUUGAGAGUUCUUAUCGACAAGAGUAGUUGCGACCUCGAUGUUGAAUUAAGGUUUCUUUUAAAUGUAGCAGUUUGAGGAGUGGGUCUGUUCGACCUUUAAAACCUUACAUGAUUUGAGUUCAAACCGGUGUGAGCCAGGUUGGUUUCUAUCUA